rnacentral:rRNA from 1 species
UACGUAGGGGGCAAGCGUUGUCCGGAAUUAUUGGGCGUAAAGAGCGUGUAGGCGGCCAUACAGGUCCGUUGUGAAAACUGGAGGCUUAACCUCCAGACGUCGAUGGAAACCGUAUGGCUAGAGUCCGGAAGAGGAGAGUGGAAUUCCUGGUGUAGCGGUGAAAUGCGCAGAUAUCAGGAAGAACACCCGUGGCGAAGGCGGGUCUCUGGGCCGAUACUGACGCUGAGGAGCGAAAGCGUGGGGAGCGAACAGG